rnacentral:rRNA from 1 species
CCUACGGGUGGCAGCAGUGAGGAAUAUUGGUCAAUGGGCGCGAGACUGAACCAGCCAAGUAGCGUGAAGGAUGACUGCCCUACGGGUUGUAAACUUCUUUUAUGAAGGAAUAAAGUGAGGCACGUGUGCCUUUUUGUAGGUACUUUAUGAAUAAGGAUCGGCUAACUCCGUGCCAGCAGCCGCGGUAAUACGGAGGAUCCGAGCGUUAUCCGGAUUUAUUGGGUUUAAAGGGAGCGUAGAUGGGUUGUUAAGUCAGUUGUGAAAGUUUGCGGCUCAACCGUAAAAUUGCAGUUGAUACUGGCAGUCUUGAGUACAGGUGAGGUAGGCGGAAUUCGUGGUGUAGCGGUGAAAUGCUUAGAUAUCACGAAGAACUCCGAUUGCGAAGGCAGCUUACUAAACUGCCACUGACACUGAUGCUCGAAGGUGUGGGUAUCAAACAGGAUUAGAUACCCUAGUAGUC